GGGAAUGUGGCUCAGGGGUAGAGUGCUUGCCUAGUAUGCAUGAAACUCUGGGUUCGAUUCCUCAGUACCA
rnacentral:tRNA from 1 species